CCUCAGAGACCACAGAGACAGACCUCAGAGACCAGAGAGGGCCGGCGGAGGCAGGCUCCAGUCCCAAGGAGGAGGAGUAAAGCAAAGUCCAACCUGGACUCCGGCCCUGGAAUUUCAAUGCCUUCUAGACCAAGCCGGGCACUGGGACUGCUGCCUCCCCCUGCUGUCUUCCCACUCUCCAGCCUGAUUUCCUUUGGAGACUCUAGAGGGCCCAGCUAAGAACUUGGCACUAUGCCCAGGGAUCCAGAAGUGACCUCAAGACUCUCCUACUCCUGACCCACACGGGACAAGCUAGCAUCUACCUCACAAUGUGACAGGUCCCUUAGGGAGUGGCAGACAUAACUGAGAAAAAUGGACUCUUUCAGUAUGUAAAGUCUUGAUAUAAAUACAUAAGAUCGGCCUUCAGAUUUCUCUUGAUAAGAUGUCAGAGGAGAUGAACAGUUUACGCAAAGGAAAAGCAGACAAUAAAUCCUAAUGUGGAAGUGUGCCCAGUCUC